GUUGUCCCAUGCUCAGCUUUUAUUAGGUAAAGCAUUCAUAGAGGAACGCUGCUAAUAAGCGCUCCUAAAGGAUGCAGACAGAGCAGCGCCUGGUGAUGCUGCACGUGUUGCUGUGCCUUGUACAGUUCGCAAGGAGGAGGUGAAGAUACAAAAGCCCCUGGCACACUCAGGUAAAUACUUGGAGAGUAUAAGGCAUAUACAACUUGGGACUUAGCAACAAAUGAGCAUCCAGGAGACUGCCUUACCCUUCCUUCUGCUUGGAAAUAAUUUUCCAGACAACGCCUGCCCCUAGGAGAAGCAGGACUCCUGCAGCUACGACUCCUGAAAGAGAAGAGCAUGUAUUAUGCUCACUGUGUGUUUUAAAGUAUAUCAGAACAAAAGCUAUAACAAGGCAUAUCUUUAAAGCAAGCAGAAGGAGAUGGUGCUGCCAAAACCACUGCAUAAAGCUAAGACCUGGCCACAGAAAUGUUUCUGAGCUGCUUACCUACACCUACGGAACCAGACUUGUGUGAUGCUGAAGGGAAGAGAAGAAAUAAAAUCAGCAAAGUAUUCUAACAAAAUAUGGUGCUUCUCAUCAGUGUUUGAUCACUUUAUCAAUAAAUGUUUUACUUCUAAGGCCUACAAUAGAGAAUUUCUUAAAAACCA